rnacentral:rRNA from 1 species
GUCCGGAUUUACUGGGCGGAAAGAGCGCGCAGGCGGUCGUUCAAGUCGCGUGUGAAAGCCCCCGGCUCAACUGGGGAGGGUCACGCGAUACUGAUCGACUCGAAGGCAGGAGAGGGUAGUGGAAUUCCCGGUGUAGCAGUGAAAUGCGUAGAUAUCGGGAGGAACAUCUGUGGCGAAGGCGACACCCUGGACCAGCACUGACACUGAGGCACGAAAGCGUGGGGAGCAAACAGG